GGCCGACUGAGCAUUGACAUCCAAUGUGAUUCCGCAUGUUCCACGGUUUUGUUUUUUUUUUGCUUAUGUGAACAUGCACGACUCGCAAAAGCUUUUGGCUCAAGGGAAACAUGAUUUUAGUCUGGCCUGGCCAAUGUCCCGUUUUCAGUCUGGCUCAACCCCGCUGUUAGAAGACACUUUCUAUCACAGAAUAAAAAAAGAGAUUGCUUCUGUAGGUUGGUUCACAGAAAUGAGCAAGAAAUAAGGCCAUGUGUAACGUUAAAACUAGGCCAGUAGAACACCGAUGUCUAUAUGAAGAGGUGAGUUACCAUAUAUUUCUCAUUUGAAUGAUUGUUUUCACCUAAACUGAAAUGUUCUGCUGGACAAGGUGGGAUUUUAAUUCUUUGGUUUGGAUAAUUUUUUUUAGUAAAGAUUGAGGUGUCUAACUCUUUUAAUACACACACUGUUUCUUACAGAGGAAGUGCAAACUUAUUCCAGGAUCUGGUAUAAAUUUGGAGUAGGGACACUAAGGUUUUAUGUCUGAGAAUGCAACACUGUGGUCAUCUAGUUCUGGCUCCAAGCUCUUUAUCGGAUCUGGAACAAAGUUAAUUGUGCAGACCAAGAAAGUAGAAACACCAGCCUAUUACAGAUUUAAUAAGUCAUGUUUGGCAACCGACUUCACAAAACAUGAUGCUGUAAGCUUCACAGACGUUACACCAGUGCGAUAUUCAGGCCAAAAUUACUUCAGCAGCUUCACCUUUAAUGAUUCAGAACCCUGCCCAGAAAAAGGUAGGAAUGAUAUAUCACAUGCAAUUAAAAAAACAAACAUUUCCAACUUAAUUCCUCAAAUAUUUGGUUGCAUUAUAUUAAUCCUCUUUAUUCCACUUUCAGACUGUAAGUCAGGAUCAUCCGGUCAAAAUGCUUAUUUUGAAACCGGUAAGUGUGCUUUUAUUUGCACAUUUAUAUAG
rnacentral:lncRNA from 1 species